ACGUGUGUGUUUGUGUGUGUGUGUGCAUCUGGUCGUAUGUGUAAACUGCGGUGCACUUUUCGCCUGUAUGGUGUCCGACUUAUGGAAUUCGGUGCUCUCUGCUGGUGGCACGGAUAUUUGCACAGGCUGAAGCAGGAACGGAGCCUGAUGAUCAGUACCCGUCUGGCUUUCCAAUCUUCGCACCCGAGGACUUUGAAUUGAUCUGUGCUAUUGGCAGUGCAUUUCGCCACACCACCGUCAUCUAUCUGGCUCGCCACGUUCUGUCCGACCAGACUGUAGUAAUACGCCGCUGCAACGCCGACUUGCUGACGGACGAUGAGCUGCAGCAGCUGGCG